rnacentral:RNase_P_RNA from 2 species
UCGGUUUUGCGGAUGAUCGCCCUAAUAAUAUGGUUAAACUAUUGAAAAAGGGGAGGAAAGUCCGGACUCCAUAUGGCGGCGCAAGGGGUAACGCCCCUCGGCAGUAAUGUCAGGAACAGUGGAACAGAGAGAAUGUCCAGGACUAUGAUCCUUAAAGCGGGAACGGGAGCUUUUUGGGGAGUCGCUGGAGUGAAAACAGUCAAACUCUGCGCGGAGCAAGAUCAAAUAGGGGGACAUUAGUAGGACGGCCAGUCCGUAGUCUCCGGGUAAGAUCGCUUGAGGGUUGUAGUGAUGCAACUCCUAGAGGAAUGAUCAUCUAUUAUUAUCGGGACACUUAUGGGACCUGGUGAUUUGGACAGAAUCCGGCUUACAGCAAAACCGAACUC